rnacentral:rRNA from 1 species
GUACGUAGGGUGCGAGCGUUGUCCGGAUUUAUUGGGCGUAAAGAGCUCGUAGGCGGCUUGUCGCGUCUGCCGUGAAAGUCCGGGGCUCAACUCCGGAUCUGCGGUGGGUACGGGCAGACUAGAGUGAUGUAGGGGAGACUGGAAUUCCUGGUGUAGCGGUGAAAUGCGCAGGAUAUCAGGAGGAACACCAAUUGCGAAGGCAGCUCGCUGGGACGUUACUGACGCUGAGACGCGAAAGCGUGGGGAGCAAACAGG